UGCAGAAAAAAAAAACAGCAUCUGGAGGUGAGCUGGAUCUGUCUGAUGCGUUUGGUCCAGAUACAGAGCCCAAAAAACCUGUGGUCCCACCUAAAGAAAGAGGAACUGGUA